rnacentral:misc_RNA from 1 species
UCCGUGUUAACCACGGCAGUCUCCUUAGAGAGCCCAACUGAAUGCUGGCAACUAAGGACAAGGGUUGCGCUCGUUGCGGGACUUAACCCAACAUGUCACCACACGAGCUGACGACAGCCAUGCAGCACCUGUCUUCCGGUUGUAUUGCUACAAAAAAUGUAUCUCUACAUCGAUCCGGAGAUGUCAAAUCCAGGUAAGGUUCUUCGCGUUGCUUCGAAUUAAACCACAUGAUCCACCGCUUGUGCGGGCCCCCGUCAAUUCCUUUGAGUUUUAGUCUUGCGACCGUACUUCCCAGGCGGGGUACUUAUUGCGUUAGCGCCGGUUCGGCGGGGGUCAAGACCCACCAAACCUAGUACCCAUCGUUUACAGCGUGGACUAC